rnacentral:lncRNA from 1 species
GUGGGGGGCUCUGGAAAUUGAACACACAGGGAAUCUACUGUGGAGCUACAUGCAGGUUCCUUUUUAUUUUUUUAAUUUUGAGGCGGCAACUCACAAAAUUGCCCAAGUUGACCUCCAAAUUGAAAUCUAAAUCCUCUUGCCUCAGCCUCCCAGUUGCUAGGAUUGUAGGUGUGGCCCACCACCAGGCCUGGCCUCUUUACUCAUUCUUUUGAGAUGUUGUGUUUUUCUUAUAAUUGUGUAAGAUUCCUUUCUAUGUUAAGGACACUACCCUUUGUUAUAGUUCUAUCUAAAGUCCUAGACAUGUCAUUUGCCUUUUAAUUUUGUUUGUGAUGCUGUUUUAUCUCCAUAAAUUUAAAAGUUCUAAGUAAUCAGAUAUAUCAACAUUUUUCUUUUAGAAAUCAUCAAGCUUUAUGUUUUUGUUCUCAAAGGCCUUUUACCACCUGCGGAUCAAGCAAUGCCUGUGGCAUUUUCCUCUUUUCAACGAAUGUCACUUUUCUUAUGUGGGUCAUUUUCCACAAUGAACCCCUUAAUUCAUCUGAAACGUAUUCCAUUCCUUCUUAACUGUUGUUUGUUCCAUCCUAUUGAACCAGAGAGGAUGGUUCCGUUUCAAGAAAUAGAAACCUUAACCAACAAAAUAGAAUUUUCUGGGUCCUGGAAGUGAAAAGUUCAAAGACUUCAGGUCUGUUUGGUCAGGUACCUCACACAAUGUGGACAGGACCUGACAGUUCUCACUUCAUUUCUUUGCUUUAGCCACUGGUGACAGCUCCAAUUUCAACAGACUCUCCUCUUGUGGUCCCUUGAUGGUGCCAAGAAUUUUCAGGGUUACUUGUUUGUGCAUU